rnacentral:rRNA from 1 species
AAAAAUUUGGCGGUAUUUUAGUCUAUUCAGAGGAACCUGUUCUGUAAUCGAUAAUCCACGAUGGACCUUACUUAAAUUUGUUUUGAGUUUAUAUACCGUCGUUAUUAGAAUAUUUUAUAAGAAUGUUAAUUUUCAAGAUUUUUAAAAAGAAAUUAUAUCAGAUCAAGGUGUAGCUUAUAUUUAAGUAGAAAUGGGUUACAAUAAAUUUAUUUAAAUGAAUAUAAAUUUGAAAUGUUUAUUGAAGGUGGAUUUGAUAGUAAAAUUAUAAAGAUUAAUAAUUUGAUUUUAGCUCUAAAAU